rnacentral:rRNA from 1 species
AUUGAACGCUGGCGGCAGGCCUAACACAUGCAAGUCGAACGAGUGGCUGACGGGUGAUUAAUGUCUGAGAAACUUCCUGAUGGAGGGGGGUAACUACUGGAAACGGUAGCUAAUACCGCAUACCAUCAGAUGUACCCAGAUGGGAUUGGCUAGUAGGGUGGGUAACGGCUCACAUAGGCGACGAACCCUAGCUGGUCUGAGAGGAUGACCAGCCAGCCUGGAACUGAGAGACGGUAGAGACGACCACGGGAGGCAGGAGUGGGGAAGAUUGCACAAUGGGCGCAAGCCUGAUGCAGCCAUGCCGCGUGGAUGAAGAAGGUCAUCGGGUUGUAAAGUACUUUAAGCGGGGAAGAGUUACCUGCAGAAGAAGGACCGGCGAAGUCCGUGCCAGCAGCCGCGGUAAUGC